GAAGCCUGGUUUUGGAUCAGUGUGACACCAGGAGCUUUUCCUGCCUCCCAGUCUGUGCACCAGCUUGCUUUGUGUUGUGGUCUAUCUUCAAUACUAAAUGGUGGAAUUCUUCUGAAGUAUGAGUUCUCUGACACAAAAGCAGCCUCAGCAACAUUUCUCCAACACUAAUGUGCUUCAGCUCUAGUGACUAUAAUGACUGUUUCUCUCCUAGGGUAAUGGUUUCUGCUGGGAGGAAAAAUUUCUGCUGGGAGGAAAAAUUCCUCAAAUUCAAAGCAAGAAGGACAGGCAUCUGCCAGAGUUUGUUUGUUUUGAAAAUUUACAGUACCUUGUGAAGAAACUUGCUGUGCCAGAAAAACUGAAAGCAAAAGUAGGGAGGUCCAAUAUAUAUUCCAUGCCAUGGUGAGUUGUUGGGGUUGUGUCUUUCCUUAAACAAAAUAAAAAUAUUUUUUUUCAUUACA
rnacentral:lncRNA from 1 species